AGGUGCGAUCAUACAAGCACUGAUGCACCGGAUUCUAGCGAGAGUAGUACUAGGAUGGGUGACCUCCUGGGAAGUCCUUGUAUUGCACCUC
rnacentral:rRNA from 2 species